CCCGAAAUAUUAUGAGCUGCUCUUAUGCUGCCUAGAUCUCAAAUUAUUUUGUUGUAAUAAAAUAAAAAGACAUAAUAGCAGAAGCUACAUACUAACCGCAUAAUAUAAUAGCUGGUUCCUAUUGAAAGUUAUAUAAGUAACAGUAAUAAUUUAUUAACCUAAUGUAUAGAGGAUAAGCUCUAUACACAUCACUAUAUUAACAAAAAUUAUUAUUCAGACGUAGGCCUGAAAAUAGCCACCACAUAUAAUGUUAUAAUUACUUUAUAAAAAUAAUAAUUCGUACAUGCAUCUUUAAAUAGGAAUAAAUACAAACUUUCUAUAUUUAUUUUUAAUGUUAAAACUAGUAUUCAAAUAUUUAUUCAUGUGAACUAUCCAAUCCAUAUAUAGUAAAGGAAUUCGGCAAACACUUAUUUCGACUGUUUACCAAAAACAUUGCCUUGUGCUCAUCUAUACAAGGUAAUUCCUGCCCAGUGAUUUUAAACGGCCGCAGUACCCUGACUGUGCAAAGGUAGCAUAAUCAUUUGCCUUUUAAUUGAAGGCUAGAAUGAAUGGAUUAACGUAAAUAAAGCUGUCUCUACUAUACCAGUACAAACUAGACCAUAGGUGAAAAUACCUAUAUGAAAAUAAAGGACAAAAAGACCCUAUAGAGCUGUAUUUCUCAGAACCAAUGAAAUACAUCAUAUUACAUUUAUUUUAUAGAAAUUUUGUUGGGGCGACAAGGGAGUUCAUAAAUCCUCCCUUUAUUCUAAGAUUAAUUCAUCUUCUACAAUGAUCCUUACAAGAUCAACAGAAAAAGCUACCUUAGGGAUAACAGACUAAUCCUUUUAGAGAGUUCAUAUUGACAAAAGGGAUUGGCACCUCGAUGUUGGCUUAAGAUAUCCUUUAGGUGCAGAAGCCUAAGAAGGUUGGUUUGUUCAACCAUUAAAAUCUUACAUGAGCUGAGUUCAGACCGGCGAAAGCCAGGUUAGAUUCUAUCCUUAUUUUAAACUUUACUAAGUAGUACGAAAGGACCCU
rnacentral:rRNA from 1 species